UACGUAGGGGGCGAGCGUUGUCCGGAUUUAUUGGGCGUAAAGAGCUCGUAGGCGGUUUGGCAAGUCGGGUGUGGAAACUCCGGGCUCAACUCAGAGACGCCACUCGAUACUGCCAUGACUCGAGUCCGGUAGGGGAGUGCGGAAUUCCUGGUGUAGCGGUGAAAUGCGCAGAUAUCAGGAGGAACACCAGUGGCGAAGGCGGCUCACUGGACCGGUUCUGACGCUGAGGCGCGAAAGCGUGGGGAGCAAACGGG
rnacentral:rRNA from 1 species